AGCUGAACUUUCAGGAAGAUAAGCAGCCCAGACUUGAGUUUCUAGAUGUAUACAACCAGGUGCAUGUCCAAGGCACAGAGGGUGGUAUUUAUAACCCAUAGUAACAUUAAAUGCAGUGUCUUAUUCUCCUGGUUGGGCAGGGCAACAGUUAUCUGUGGCUCCAGGCAUCCACACACUAUUGUUAGUGUAGAUUUCUGCAGAAGCAUCUAUCCAGGUGAGAGGUUGAAUAAGUGGAGGAAAAGGCACAUAAGCCCAAUAAGAAUAUUUAUGUGUAGCAGGUAAAUCAGUGUGAGAGGAAACUGGUGAGACAGAAAGUAUAAGGAGGAGAAUCAUUAAAUAAAACUUAUUGUAAGUGAGAUUCUGAAGAAGGAAGAGAAGAACAGUGUUAAGUAUCCUGGCAAAGGAGCAUUAGGGUUACAGAUAGAAUUGAAGUUGCUCGUCAGCUGAUUGAAGAUAAGGAGAUUGGCCUGGAUUAUCCAGGUAGGCUCAAUGUAAUCAGGAAGGGCCUUUAAAGUGAGAGAGGGAGGCAGAAGAGGAAGUCAGAGCGAUGUGCUGUGAAAUCUACUACCGUUUGCUGGUUUUGAAAAUGGAGAAAAAGAGUGAGGAACUGAGAAACAUGGAUGGCCUUGGGAACGUGGAAAAGGGUCACUGAAAUGGGACGACAUGAACUCAAGGAGGCUAUUUAUGACCAUGUCAUUUGCAACAUGAAGAAAGCUUAUCUGGAGUGAAAGUAAAUGAGACCAACAGAGAUGAGAGACCCGGAGAAAUCCUGGUUACACUGCUUGAAUCCUGUCAGUCCUAUACUGGAGUCCUGUUAAUACAAAAUAAUAGUAAUAAUCCCUCUGUUUCUUAUGUUUAUGCCAACUUCAACAAAAAGAAACUUGACUAAGAGACAAUAUAAGAAUUUAAUGUGUAAUUAAGAAAGAACUCUCCACCACGGGGAAUGUGAAAGACACAUACUAACAAAAGGCCACAUGAGGACACAGUGAGAAGCUGGAAGUCUACAACCCAGAAGAGAGCCCUCAACAGAACCUAACCAUGCUGGUACCCUGAUCUCAGACAUCCAGCCUCCAGAAGAGUGAAAAAAUAUAAUUCUUAUUUCUAAGCAACCUGGUCUAUGGUAUUUCAUUAUGGCAGCCCAAGCUAAGACAGAUCCCUAUCCUAUUCACCAUGCUGCAGAGCCACAUGAGCCUCCCUUUUGUUCCUCAAGCUCAUCAAAUACCUCCUAGCCUUAGAACUUGCUAUUCCCUCUAACCAGAAUUCUCUUCCAGGUCUUUCCAUCCUGUAAGUCUUGUCCUUUAGAUCGAAAUUCACAUGUGACCUCCCCUGAGAAUGGUCCUCUGAAAACCUAUCUCAAAGAGUGUUCCCAGUUACUCUCUACCUUACCCCCAGGUUAUUAUCUUCCCACCACUUUUCCAUAUUUGUAAUCAUUUGCUUUUGUAUAUGUGUGAUAUGGUUAGGCUUAGUGUCCCUACCCAAAUCUCGUGUUAAAUUGUAAUCCCCAGGGAGAUUACAAUUUAGGGAGAGACCUGGUGGGAAGUGAUUGGAUUAUGGGGGUGGGUUCCCCCAUGCUGUUCUCGUGAUAGUGAGUGAAUUCUCAUAAGAUCUAAUGGUUUUGUAAAUGGUAGUUUUUCCUGUGCUGACUCAUUCUCUCUCCUGCUGCCUUGUGAAGAGGUGCCUUCUGUCAUGACUGUAAGUUUCCUGAAGCUUCCCCAACCAUGGGGAACUGUGAGUCAAUUAAAC
rnacentral:lncRNA from 10 species